UUGGCCCUGAAUCAAGGCCAGCAGUUUGUUGAAACUGUUGGUUUCAAGCAGGAGCCUAAAAAAAAAAAUGUCUUUCUAUCGUCUGACUAUUUCAGAACUUUAGAAAUGUAAUAGUCAAUUCAAUAGAAACAUCU
rnacentral:snoRNA from 1 species